rnacentral:rRNA from 1 species
ACUAAGCGUACACGGUGGAUGCCCUGGCAGUCAGAGGCGAUGAAGGACGUGCUAAUCUGCGAUAAGCGUCGGUGAGGUGAUAUGAACCGUUAUAACCGGCGAUUUCCGAAUGGGGAAACCCAGUGUGUUUCGACACACUAUCAUUAACUGAAUCCAUAGGUUAAUGAGGCGAACCGGGGGAACUGAAACAUCUAAGUACCCCGAGGAAAAGAAAUCAACCGAGAUUCCCCCAGUAGCGGCGAGCGAACGGGGAGGAGCCCAGAGCCUGAAUCAGUGUGUGUGUUAGUGGAAGCGUCUGGAAAGGCGCGCGAUACAGGGUGACAGCCCCGUACACAAAAAUGCACAUACUGUGAGCUCGAUGAGUAGGGCGGGACACGUGGUAUCCUGUCUGAAUAUGGGGGGACCAUCCUCCAAGGCUAAAUACUCCUGACUGACCGAUAGUGAACCAGUACCGUGAGGGAAAGGCGAAAAGAACCCCGGCGAGGGGAGUGAAAAAGAACCUGAAACCGUGUACGUACAAGCAGUGGGAGCCUCUUAAUGGGGUGACUGCGUACCUUUUGUAUAAUGGGUCAGCGACUUAUAUUCUGUAGCAAGGUUAACCGAAUAGGGGAGCCGAAGGGAAACCGAGUCUUAACUGGGCGUUAAGUUGCAGGGUAUAGACCCGAAACCCGGUGAUCUAGCCAUGGGCAGGUUGAAGGUUGGGUAACACUAACUGGAGGACCGAACCGACUAAUGUUGAAAAAUUAGCGGAUGACUUGUGGCUGGGGGUGAAAGGCCAAUCAAACCGGGAGAUAGCUGGUUCUCCCCGAAAGCUAUUUAGGUAGCGCCUCGUGAAUUCAUCUCCGGGGGUAGAGCACUGUUUCGGCAAGGGGGUCAUCCCGACUUACCAACCCGAUGCAAACUGCGAAUACCGGAGAAUGUUAUCACGGGAGACACACGGCGGGUGCUAACGUCCGUCGUGAAGAGGGAAACAACCCAGACCGCCAGCUAAGGUCCCAAAGUCAUGGUUAAGUGGGAAACGAUGUGGGAAGGCCCAGACAGCCAGGAUGUUGGCUUAGAAGCAGCCAUCAUUUAAAGAAAGCGUAAUAGCUCACUGGUCGAGUCGGCCUGCGCGGAAGAUGUAACGGGGCUAAACCAUGCACCGAAGCUGCGGCAGCGACACUAUGUGUUGUUGGGUAGGGGAGCGUUCUGUAAGCCUGUGAAGGUGUACUGUGAGGUAUGCUGGAGGUAUCAGAAGUGCGAAUGCUGACAUAAGUAACGAUAAAGCGGGUGAAAAGCCCGCUCGCCGGAAGACCAAGGGUUCCUGUCCAACGUUAAUCGGGGCAGGGUGAGUCGACCCCUAAGGCGAGGCCGAAAGGCGUAGUCGAUGGGAAACAGGUUAAUAUUCCUGUACUUGGUGUUACUGCGAAGGGGGGACGGAGAAGGCUAUGUUGGCCGGGCGACGGUUGUCCCGGUUUAAGCGUGUAGGCUGGUUUUCCAGGCAAAUCCGGAAAAUCAAGGCUGAGGCGUGAUGACGAGGCACUACGGUGCUGAAGCAACAAAUGCCCUGCUUCCAGGAAAAGCCUCUAAGCAUCAGGUAACAUCAAAUCGUACCCCAAACCGACACAGGUGGUCAGGUAGAGAAUACCAAGGCGCUUGAGAGAACUCGGGUGAAGGAACUAGGCAAAAUGGUGCCGUAACUUCGGGAGAAGGCACGCUGAUAUGUAGGUGAAGCGACUUGCUCGUGGAGCUGAAAUCAGUCGAAGAUACCAGCUGGCUGCAACUGUUUAUUAAAAACACAGCACUGUGCAAACACGAAAGUGGACGUAUACGGUGUGACGCCUGCCCGGUGCCGGAAGGUUAAUUGAUGGGGUUAGCGGUAACGCGAAGCUCUUGAUCGAAGCCCCGGUAAACGGCGGCCGUAACUAUAACGGUCCUAAGGUAGCGAAAUUCCUUGUCGGGUAAGUUCCGACCUGCACGAAUGGCGUAAUGAUGGCCAGGCUGUCUCCACCCGAGACUCAGUGAAAUUGAACUCGCUGUGAAGAUGCAGUGUACCCGCGGCAAGACGGAAAGACCCCGUGAACCUUUACUAUAGCUUGACACUGAACAUUGAGCCUUGAUGUGUAGGAUAGGUGGGAGGCUUUGAAGUGUGGACGCCAGUCUGCAUGGAGCCGACCUUGAAAUACCACCCUUUAAUGUUUGAUGUUCUAACGUGGGCCCGUAAUCCGGGUUGCGGACAGUGUCUGGUGGGUAGUUUGACUGGGGCGGUCUCCUCCUAAAGAGUAACGGAGGAGCACGAAGGUUGGCUAAUCCUGGUCGGACAUCAGGAGGUUAGUGCAAUGGCAUAAGCCAGCUUGACUGCGAGCGUGACGGCGCGAGCAGGUGCGAAAGCAGGUCAUAGUGAUCCGGUGGUUCUGAAUGGAAGGGCCAUCGCUCAACGGAUAAAAGGUACUCCGGGGAUAACAGGCUGAUACCGCCCAAGAGUUCAUAUCGACGGCGGUGUUUGGCACCUCGAUGUCGGCUCAUCACAUCCUGGGGCUGAAGUAGGUCCCAAGGGUAUGGCUGUUCGCCAUUUAAAGUGGUACGCGAGCUGGGUUUAGAACGUCGUGAGACAGUUCGGUCCCUAUCUGCCGUGGGCGCUGGAGAACUGAGGGGGGCUGCUCCUAGUACGAGAGGACCGGAGUGGACGCAUCACUGGUGUUCGGGUUGUCAUGCCAAUGGCACUGCCCGGUAGCUAAAUGCGGAAGAGAUAAGUGCUGAAAGCAUCUAAGCACGAAACUUGCCCCGAGAUGAGUUCUCCCUGACUCCUUGAGAGUCCUGAAGGAACGUUGAAGACGACGACGUUGAUAGGCCGGGUGUGUAAGCGCAGCGAUGCGUUGAGCUAACCGGUACUAAUGAACCGUGAGGCUUAACC